AGCAGCCGCGGUAAUUCCAGCUCCAAUAGCGUAUAUUAAAGUUGUUGCAGUUAAAAAGCUCGUAGUUGAAUUUCGGGAUCGACGGGUCGGUCGCGCCUCUGGUGUGUACUGGCCCUGUCGGUUUCUCCCUUCUGACGAACCACGAUGUCAUUAAUUUGGUGUCGUGGGAAAUCAGGACUGUUACUUUGAAAAAAUUAGAGUGUUUAAAGCAGGCAUUCGCUUGAAUACAUUAGCAUGGAAUAAUGAAAUAGGACGUUUGAUCUUAUUUUGUUGGUUUCUAAGAUCGACGUAAUGAUUAAUAGGGAUAGUUGGGGGCAUUAGUAUUCAAUUGUCAGAGGUGAAAUUCUUGGAUUUAUUGAAGACUAACUACUGCGAAAGCAUUUGCCAAGGAUGUUUUCAUUAAUCAAGAACGAAAGUUAGGGGAUCGAAGACGAUCAGAUACCGUCGUAGUCUUAACCAUAAACUAUGCCGACUAGGGAUCGGCGGAUGUUGCUUAUAGGACUCCGCCGGCACCUUAUGG
rnacentral:rRNA from 1 species